UACGUAGGGGGCAAGCGUUGUCCGGAUUUAUUGGGCGUAAAGAGCGUGUAGGCGGCUUUACAGGUCCGUUGUGAAAACUCGAGGCUCAACCUCGAGACGCCGGUGGAAACCGUAAAGCUAGAGUCCGGAAGAGGAGAGUGGAAUUCCUGGUGUAGCGGUGAAAUGCGCAGAUAUCAGGAGGAACACCAAUAGCGAAGGCAGCUCGCUGGGACGGUACUGACGCUGAGGUGCGAAAGCGUGGGGAGCAAACAGG
rnacentral:rRNA from 1 species